CGUAGGGCGGAGCGUUGUUCCGGAAUCAUUGGGCGGUAAAGACGCGUGUAGGCGGUCCGGUAAGUCCGCUGUGAAAGUACGGGGGCGUCAACCCUCGGAUGCCGGUGGAUACUGUCGGGCUUGAGUACGGAAGAGGCGAGUGGAAUUCCUGGUGUAGCGGUGAAAUGCGCAGAUAUCAGGAGGAACACCAAUUGCGAAGGCAGCUCGCUGGGACGUUACUGACGCUGAGACGCGAAAGCGUGGGGAGCAAACAGGAUU
rnacentral:rRNA from 1 species